rnacentral:rRNA from 1 species
UACGUAGGGUGCAAGCGUUGUCCGGAAUUAUUGGGCGUAAAGAGCUCGUAGGCGGUCUGUCGCGUCUGCUGUGAAAACUCAGGGCUUAACCCUGAGCUUGCAGUGGGUACGGGCAGACUAGAGUGCGGUAGGGGAGACUGGAAUUCCCGGUGUAGCGGUGAAAUGCGCAGAUAUCGGGAGGAACACCGGUGGCGAAGGCGGAUUCUCUGGGCCUUACCUGACGCUGAGGAGCGAAAGCGUGGGGAGCGAACAGG